rnacentral:tRNA from 1 species
GGUUUGUGGCUCAGUGGUAGAGCGCUCACCUAACACCUGCGAGGCACUGGGUUCAAUCCUCAGCACCA